UGCCUCCGCCGGUGCCGCUUCACCUCUCUGGCGCCCACCCGCCACCUCUUCGCGCGUGCCCGUGUCUCCCUGUGCUUGGCUGCACGGUGAAGGGAGUUGCAUCCGUGUCUCCGCUCGCUGUCGCAACCUGCCUUUCCUUUUUCACCUUUGAUGCCCAGUCGUUGCGCGCGCACACACACAGACACGGACGCCUACACAUACGCACACCGGAACAACGACAGUGGCAUGCUCAGACAGCGACUCCAUCGUGCUCGAGCCACGCACCGCGCCCGCAGCCAUGACGUUUGCGAGACGCAUGGCCUCGCUGCGUUGUUCAGGCGCACCUGUGCUGCGCGCCCUUGCGGUGGCCUCAGCGCGGUGGUGCUUGCGUGUUGCUAUGCAUCAACAGCGACCUCAUCUACUGCGACGUCACCACCACCGCCAUACGAGACGACGUCCAUGCCGAAGUCGUCGCCGUCGCAACCACCGGCCACGGCACGGCCACCACGCGUCCCACCUCCGCCUCCACUGUCUCUCCUGUCGUGGGCGGUGGACGGCUCAGGCCAUACCCAUCACCGUUGCAGGCGCCGCCUGUCUAUGGAGGAGCGCAUUCCACUCGUGUGCGAGACGAUCCGGGCCGCUGCGUCCGACGUGGUCGCUCUUCAAGACUCCACCCCAGAACUCGCGGAGGCGCUCAUCAACGGUCCUGACGAGGGCAUCGUAGCGAAGCCACCAAGGCCGGCACCGGAAAGGCGUUUUCGCAUAUACUGCGCCGAUCUCGCACGCGAUUUGCAACAUCAGCGACCAAGCAGCGCUUCGCCGACUUCAUCAGCGUCAGCUGCACCAGUAGCACCUGUAACCACCGAGGCACCACUGAAUGCAGACUGCCAUGAGCAGCAGCCACCAACCACGGACGCCCCUGCACAUGCCGCAAGCUCCCUGACGCUCCCACCCGCCUCUUCGCCCUCGUGCCGCUACCGUCUUGUCGGCCGUGCUCGCAACGGCCGCUGCGGCGAAGUGCAGCUGUUCAUCAAGGAGGGCUCUGUCUGGGACGCUCAGCUGCUUCCUGGCAUGGGUGCCGGCCUCACGGUGGAGCUGCGCAGCCGCACCUCUGCCACGCUGCCCCCGCACACUUCGAAGGGCGAUGCCUCCACCUCGGACAUCGCCUCAUCUGAGACGAGCAACCAAACGAGCUCGGCAGCGAGGCAGGGCGGCGCAGACCCAGUCGGCAGCGAGGCUGACUCGCCGUGCCACCGCUGCGUUCUCACUACUCUGGACCUCUCUUACCGCGGCAAGAGUCUCGGCACGAACACAGAGGGUCUGCUAGCCGACGCUGCGGUCAGCGCCGAGGGUAGUCCUUUUACGCUGCAGACGCAACGGCCAUCGUCUCUGUCUGCCGCCAAGCGACACGGACGGGCCCCAGGUCAGCUGGAUGCACACCGUGCCAUGGCGCUUGACUGGGUGUAUCACCAUGUGCGGCCCGACGUGCUGGUCGGCAACCUCUUUACCGGCGCACGCGAGCACGUCCCUGGCUUCGAGGACACGUGGGUGCGGGCAGGGUCGCCGGCGGGACAGGAGCGGACAACAAACACGUGCGCGCGGCACCGCGUUGAUCACGCGACGAACUACUUCUACUUUCAGCCCUCUCGCAACGUAGCAUCAUCGGAGGCGAUUCAGAGGCUCAUGCGCAUGGAUGAGGCCGCGGCGACGGUCAGAAGGCCGCUGCCGCCGCCUCCACCUCAGCCCCCAACAACCGAUGGCGCUCUGAGGAGUGCGGCUGCCGCAGGGACGACGAGCGGCAAAACCACGGAGACGACAAGCACCACCAUUGUUGCAGUAGCCGCGGACGCUCCGAUCGGCACACCGAUCCCGCUCACCGCCUCUAGGGACAGUGCGACGGGUUCGUGGCAACUGCGCUCUUCUUCUGCAUGCGGAGGCGGAUUUUUUGAGGGCGCUGAACACCGUGAUGGCAGCGUGGCGGCUUCUUCAGCGGCGGAGUGCCGUCGCGCGGCAGAGGACGGUCAUGAUGACGUUUGCACGUCGGGCGACAUCACUGUGGGCAUGCCGGAGGUCGCGGGGCGGUUCCAGCGCUGUCUGCUGCGCCGCUGGGUGCGCCGUGGCCCGGCCUCGCGAAGCGGACACCUCUCCGCUCACCCUUUCCUCCGGCAGUAUCGCCACUGUCGAGUAGUGGUACUGCGACCCACAGUGGAGGUGGAGCUGUCGGCGGCCGAGCAGGCAUGGCAUACACGGUACAUCACAGCUCAGUACAACACGCAGAAGUCCGCCAUGCUGACGCCGUCUGCGACUGCCGAGGGCGAGCCGGGAGAGGGUGCAGCAGCAGCUGUCGCUGCGUCCCAGGCAACACGAGUUGGGGAGGGGUCGUUCUCGUCACCGCGACAGGCUCGGGUGAGCUCUCGCGUGCGCUGCUCCGUGUCGGACCAGUACCCACUACUCACCCUACUGGCGUGAGCGAGUCGCCGCGCCGCGGUUGGUGAUGCUCUUGCGUCGUUGUGGAGUGUGGAGCGUGGUGGUUGCUCUCUUCUAAAAGGAAAAACGGCAGCCCGGCCUGCUCCGCGCAGCGCUGGGGGACGCCCACGACCCCCGCUGGCGACACAGCGUACGCAUCAGCAUGUGGCGUCGCUUCGAAAAGGAGUCUCCUUGUCCUGACCGGCUGACCCUCGCGCUCUCUGUCCAAGUCCGUUCCGUACGCGGAGGGAGUCGCAGUCGAUGCGACAGGGGAAGACGAAACGGGUGCCACACUUUCGCACGGCCGUGAGUUCCUCUUUCUACAUGAACGUCCACAGACACAGGAGGACUUGAUGCGCGGCACGCUGAAAACACAACAGAAGAGGUAUCGUGCGCUGGAGUCCUACGUACCUGUUGGGGGUGGAGGCGCAGGAGAGCUUGUUGCGUGCACGUGCACGAGCAUGCCUGCUGUGGAGGCGGCGCUCUGUACCUACGCUUCUUCUGCAAUGUUCUCUGUCUCUCCGCCCUGCAUUGUGUCACUCGUGCGCUUGAUGUCGUCGCCCUCCUGACUCCACCGCCGUCCCUCUUUCUCUCGCACAUUCUGUUUGUGCGGUUUCAG
rnacentral:misc_RNA from 1 species